rnacentral:rRNA from 1 species
AGUUCGAUUAUGGCUCAGAUUGAACGCUGGCGGGAUGCUUUACAUGCAAGUCGAACAGCGGCGGACUUCGGUCUGGUGGCGAGUGGCGAACGAAUUGAGGAAGUAAUGUAUCGGAACGUGCCUAGUAGCGGGGGAUAACUACGCGAAAGCGUAGCUAAUACCACAUGCGCCCUUCGGGGAAAGCGGGGGACCUUCGGGCCUCGCACUAUUAAGAGAGCGGCCGAUAUCGGAUUGGCUAGUUGGUGGGAGUAACGGCUCACCAAGGCGACGAUCCGUAGCUGGUUUGAGAGGACGACCAGCCACACUGGGACUGAGACACGGCCAGACUCCUACGGGAGGCAGCAGUGGGGAAUUUUGGACAAUGGGGGAAACCUGAUCCAGCCAUCCCGCGUGUGCGAUGAAGGCCUUCGGGUUGUAAGCACUUUUGGCAGGAAAGAAACGGCACGGGAUAAUACCCGUGCAACUGACAGUACCUGCAGAAUAAGCACCGGCCUAACUACGUGCCAGCAACCGCGGUAAUACGUAGGGUGCAAGCGUUAAUCGGAAUUACUGGGCGUAAAGCGUGCGCAGGCGGUUCGGAAGAGAAAGAUGUGAAAUCCCAGAGCUUAACUUUGGAACUGCAUUUUUUAACUACCGAGCUAGAGUGUGUGUCAGAGGGAGUGGAAUUCCGCGUGUAGCAGUGAAAUGCGUAGAUAUGCGGAGGAACACCGAUGGCGAAGGCAGCCUCCUGGGAUAACACUGACGCUCAUGCACGGAAAGCGUGGGGAGCAAACAGGAUUAGAUACCCUGGUAGUCCACGCCCUAAACGAUGUCAACUAGCUGUUGGGGCCUUCGGGCCUUGGUAGCGCAGCUAACGCGUGAAGUUGACCGCCUGGGAGAGUACGGUCGCAAGAUUAAAACUCAAAGGAAUUGACGGGGACCCGCACAAGCGGUGGAUGAUGUGGAUUAAUUCGAUGCAACGCGAAAAACCUUACCUACCCUUGACAUGUCUGGAAUCCCGAAGAGAUUUGGGAGUGCUCGCAAGAGAACCGGAACACAGGUGCUGCAUGGCUGUCGUCAGCUCGUGUCGUGAAGAUGUUGGGUUAAGUCCGCAACGAGCGCAACCCUUGUCAUUAGUUGCUACGAAAGGGCACUCCUAAUGAGACUGCCGGUGACAAACCGGAGGAAGGUGGGGAUGACGUCAAGUCCUCAUGGCCCUUAUGGGUAGGGCUUCACACGUCAUACAAUGGUCGGGACAGAGGGUCGCCAACCCGCGAGGAGAGACCAAUCCCAGAAACCCGAUCGUAGUCCGGAUCGCAGUCUGCAACUCGACUGCGUGAAGUCGGAAUCUACACUUUAGUAAUCGCGGAUCAGCAUGUCGCGGUGAAUACGUUCCCGGGUCUUGUACACACCGCCCGUCACACCAUGGGAGUGGGUUUUACCAGAAGUAGUUAGCCUAACCGUAAGGAGGGCGAUUACCACAGUAGGAUUCAUGACUGGGGUGAAGUCGUAACAGGUAA